CCAGAACGACAGUUUCUCUCAAGCCCUAAAUGGAUUCCCAAUCUCCACUGCACCCAUUUGAUUUGUGGUGGUUAUUGAAAACUGAAUCCAAUCGCUGGCUCCCCCUUCUUCUAAUUCUGCUUAUAUUUAAUUGAUAUGAUUAUUUUUUUUCUCCAGGGAAAAAUCAAAAGCAAUGAAGGCCUUCUCGAUCUAUGAACAUGCUUGUCCGAUCUUCAUGUAACAGAUUGUCCAAUUUGGAAGAUUGAGCAAAUCAUGCUAUUUGGUUUUGGUGAGUGCUUCAGAUUCCCCAAUCACCUUCAUCAUAUAUGGUACUCUUGUAUCUCAGGUUAAGAGUUGAUCUAUUGCCAUCACUAUGUGGAAGAACAAACAAGGGACUUGCUGAUUAAGGUGU